AUGAAAAUAAGUGUACAUUUGAAACUUACGGAUCAGAGACACUAUGAUGGCGUUUUCACAGUCGUCGAAAUCCGAAUAGAAAUACAAAGUUUCUUCCAGUGUUGUUGCAGUUAUGGUAAUACGUGUAGAGGAAGCUAUUAUGGAUUGUCGAAGUUCAGUGAUGUAGAGUAA